rnacentral:lncRNA from 1 species
UCCAAUUGAACUUUUUUUCACUUACUAGCCCUAGCAUCCCUUAUUCUUUUUCAGUCUCUCCCCUCCCCACUUUCUCUUUCUCUUUCAUUUUCAAUCUCUUUCUCUAUCUCUCUAGCAAAAUAGUACAAUUCUUCUUCAGAUUUUCUUGCUCCGUUCAUUAUCUUCCUCUUCCACAAAAUAAUUUUGUUGAACAAUUCACAUCAGAUCUAUCUUUUGUAGUCCUAUUUUUUUGGUAAUUUUCUUCUUCUUCUUCUUCUUCUUCUUUGAACUGGAGUUAGCAGCCAAUGGUUUGGGAUGUUUUUCACCUUCACUUGAGUCCAACAUCUAUCUUUUGUAGUCCUAUUUUUUUGAUAAUUUUCUUCUUCUUCUUCUUCUUUGAACUGGAGUUAGCAGCCAGUGGUUUGAGAUGUUUUUCAGCUUCACUUGAGUCCAACCAACUGAGAGGAUUGCGAUUAUAGACGAGCCAGUUGGAGAUGGUGAUAAGGGCAGUAAAGAUAACACCACCAACAUAUGUUAACAGUGACUUUUCUUGUUUGGGGUGUUCUAGUGCUCAAUAGACGUUGAGAAGUCAUUUUCAGAACAGUGACUAUGAGCGAGGGCCUUUCUUCUUCUUCUCACUUUAAAUAACUUCUGAAGGGAGGGAGGAAGAAUGAUGUAUAUGUUAUAUAUAUAUAUAUAUAUAUAUAUAUAUAUAUACUUUGUAUAAUCAUGUAUAAACAUGUAUAUUU